rnacentral:lncRNA from 1 species
CUCUGGCAGCUUUCCAAGUCUCCUGGUGCCUUCUCCAAGUGCCCGCCAUGCUGAGGUUCAUCCACCAGUGGCUCCUGGCCAAUGAUUGUGAUGAGCACAGGCUGCAAGAGGCCCUGCUGGAUCUCACAGAAGCACAGCCAGAUGAUGCAGUGAUGACGCUCCUGCGUGUGGCCCCGUCCUGUGACAGGUAUGGGGCCCACCUGCCCACAGGGCUCAGGCUUCCCCAGCCCAUCACCCUGCACAGCCUGCCCCAGGUGUCUGACCAAGAGAGACUUCCAGGGCCCUCUGGCUGCUGCCUUUCCCAGCCCUGGCACGUCAGCCCCUGAGCCUGCUGCCCUGCUCCCUCGCUGCCCCUCAGGGCUCUCUCCCCACAGGGCUGGGCUGUCUGGCUGCUGCUGGCAGGGGGCCAGUGGGCAGAGGCAGAACUGGCAGCCAGCUCAUCUCCCCUCGGGGCUGUGUCUGAGACACCCCUGAGACACAGGUCUGACCCCACAGAGCUGCCAUGGCCAUGUGGAAGAGCAUCAUGGGCUCAGCCAGGACUGCAGAGCUGGUGCAGCUGAUCCUCCUGAAUGUGCUAGGGAGCUGGCCAGAGCACAGCACGUGCAUCUCUGAUGGGGACGAAACAGGUGUCUUUGUCCUGGCUGCAACCGUGGUGAUGUGGAAGAUCCUCCAGGUGCCCUGUCUGCCACGGAUAUUAAAGGUGUAUUUCCCCCAGCUGUUUGUGCAUCUCCUCUUCCAAGUGUUCUUCAGCACUCUGGAUAUGCCAGAGGAGGUCAAUACAUUCUGGAAGGGAUGCCAGGAAGAGAACAGCCUUGCCACCAGCCCCAACAGGUGCUCCAUCCCACUCCUCUGGUCCCUGCCACGUGGCCUGCCAAGGAGCCAGUGCUGCCAGUGUGACCUGGGCUUUGCUGUGCACACAGGUUUGCAAUGCGGACCCUGAAGUCCCUGCUCUGCCUCCUCCGCUGUGAGGAUGUGGUGGUGGCAAUAGAAGGCAUGUGUUCCUGGGACACACUGCUCUAUCUUGAC